CACAGGUAGUGCAAACGUUGUUUGGAAUGAUUGGGUGUAAAGGAUAUGUAGGCUGCUUUUGUAAGAUAUUUUGUGAAAUAACCGGGCUGGUCCCUGUGUUGGCCAAAAUUUAACUAAAAGCUUUGAGUCAAAAAUAAGUUGGGAGAAUUUCUUGUGCAAGGGUAGAAUCUCGAAAUAUUGGAAGGACUACCAAUCUUGUAGCGAAAGCCCCUUUCUAGCUUUGACUGACGCUGAGAUAUGAAGGAAUAGGGAUCAAACAGG
rnacentral:rRNA from 1 species